UACGUAGGCAGCAAGCGUUGUUCGGAAUUACUGGGCGUAAAGAGUUCGUAGGCGGUUUGUCGCGUCGUUCGUGAAAACUUGGGGCUUAACUCCAAGCGUGCGGGCGAUACGGGCAGACUUGAGUACUACAGGGGGAGACUGGAAUUCCUGGUGUAGCGGUGAAAUGCGCAGAUAUCAGGAGGAACACCGGUGGCGAAGGCGGGUCUCUGGGUAGUAACUGACGUUGAGGAACGAAAGCGUGGGUAGCGAACAGG
rnacentral:rRNA from 1 species